CUUUCUUUGCUGGCGACCGGCGCACGGGUGAGUAACACGUAUCCAACCUGCCCUUUACUCGGGGAUAGCCUUUCGAAAGAAAGAUUAAUACCCGAUAGCAUAAUGAUUCCGCAUGGUUUCAUUAUUAAAGGAUUCCGGUAAAGGAUGGGGAUGCGUUCCAUUAGGUUGUUGGUGAGGUAACGGCCCACCAAGCCUUCGAUGGAUAGGGGUUCUGAGAGGAAGGCCCCCACAUUGGAACUGAGACACGGUCCAA
rnacentral:rRNA from 1 species